ensembl:lncRNA
GGAUUAGGAAGAUGUGGUAUAUAUACACAAUGGAAUACUACUCAGCCAUAAAAAAGAACAAAAUAAUACCAUUUACAGCAACAUGGAUGGAACUAGAGACUCUCAUCCUGAGUGAAGUAAGAAAGACAAAUACCAUAUGUUAUCACUUAUAUCUAUAAUCUAAUAUAUGGCACAAAGGAAUCUUUCCACAGAAAAGAAAAUCAUGGACUUGAAGAAUAGACUUGUGGUUGCCAAGAGGGAAGGCAAGGGAGUGGGAGGGACUGGGAGCUUGGGGUAAAUAGAUGCAGAAUGUUGCCUUCAGGGUGGAUUAGCAGUCUUUAUGCCUUUUUAGAAGGAAAUUGUUCUAUAUGUAGCUGUAGACUCAGUGUGCCCAUGGGGGGAGAGUUCAGGAUCUUUCUAUGUCACCAUCUUGAACUAGCUAAACUUGAAUUCCUACCAUAAAUUCCACUUGGCCAUUAUGAAUUAUGCUUUUCAUAUGUCAUUGAAUACAUUUUACUGAAUUCAUAUUGGAAUUUUGUAUCUGUGUUCACCAUGGAUAUUGUUCUGUAGUUUUAUCAUCUCAUGAUGUGUUCGAUUUUGGUAUUAAACACCUCAUGAGCUAUGUUGGGAAGUGUUCCCACCUCCCCUGUUUUCUAAUAUUUGUAUAGGAUUGUUAAUAAUAUUCCUUUCUUAAAUAUUUUAUAUAUCUUACCAGCGAAGUCAUCUGGGACUAUACUUUCCUUUGUGGAAAGAAUUUGUUCACCAAUUUAAAUUUGAUCAUAGAUAUAAGUUCUAUUUGUUUCUUAUUGCUACGCUAACAAAUUGCCACAAAAUUAGUAGGCAAUUUGUAAUUGAAUUUGGUCCCAGUUCCAAUACAUAUACUAAAUUCCUGUGCUAUUUAUUUGGACAUAAUUAAAUUAGUUGACCCUUCUCUAAGUUUUAACAUAAUUGACAACUGCUAAUUUGAAGGCAUUUAUAGAUUUUUUUGUCUGCUCAGGCAGACACCUACCAUACACUAUUUUUUGUUUUGUCUUUUUAGGGCCGCACCCUCAGCAUAUGGAGGUUCCCAGGCUAGGGGUCCAAUCGGAGCUGUAGCCACCAGCCUAUGCCAGAGUCACAGCAACGCUGGAUCCGAGCCGCAUCUGCAACCUACACCACAGCUCAUGGCAACACCAGGUCCUUAACCCACUGAGCGAAGCCAGGGAUCGACCCGCAUCCUCAUGGAUGCUAGUUGUUAACCUCUGAGCCAUGACGGGAACUCCCUACCAUACACUAUUAGUCAUUAAAUGAAUUAUUUAAUUUAAGCCUGCCUCUGGGAGCCACUGAUCCAUAGCAAGGCAACUGGCAAAGCCAUAUCCCAAGUUAAGUCAGUAUUCAUUUUUUUCAUAUUUUCCUGUUGACUGUGGUCUCCAGGAUGAAUUUGGUUUCAAUGCUUUAACCCAAAUCAGGGGAUAGAUUCUUUAAGGUGGGCUUUAACCAAUUAAAAACUACUGAUUUUUAAAACUAGUAACUUAGAAAGUUCUCGCUGUGGCACAGUGGUUAAAGAUCCAGUGUUGUCUCUGUGGCAGCAUAGGUUCAAUCCCUGGCCCAGCACAGUGGGUUAAGGUUGCAGCUGUAGCUUGGAUUCAAUCUCUGGCCUGGGAAUUUCCAUAUGCUGUGGGUCUGGCCAAACAAAUACUAAUUUAAAACUGCCACACACACAAACAAGUGGUCCACAAAACAUUCUUUCCUUCUGAAUGUUUUAUGAUGCAUCAUUUUCAUUAACUAGUAUUUUGCUAUUAAACUUAAAUAAUUGAGACACAGUUGAGACAGUUCUUCCACAGCUGAUUUAAGACUGGGGUGGCAGGUAUUGAGGAUAAUUAUUUAUUUAGCCUUCUGGGUUUUCUGUGCAGACUUACUGAACUUGCCAGCUCCAGCUGCCUUCUUGUCCACUGCUUUGACACCUGCAGCAACAAUCUGUCUCAUGCCAUGAACAGCAAAAAUGGCCCAGAGCAAGAUAGUCAGAGAAGUUCUCAACAUACAUGGGCUGGCCAGGAACCAUAUCAAUGACGGCAGCAUCACUGACUUCAAAAAUUUGGGGCCAUCUUCCAGCUUUUCCCCAAAACAAUGAUCAAUCUUCUUCAGCUCAGCAAACUUGGCAAGCAAUGUGAGCUGUGUGACAAUCUAGCACAGGUGCAUAUCAGCACUGAUUUGGCUGCUUCCAUCAGUGGGUCAUUUUUGCUGAGACCAGGCACAUUCCCAUGACAAACAUCUCUGACAGACAAACAUCUUUGACAAACACAUUCUUUUUUAUUAUUCAUUUUUUAAAGUUUUAUUAAAGUAUAGUUGAUUUACAAUGUUGUGAUAAUUUCUGCUGUACAACAAAGUGUCUCAGUCACACAUGUACACUCAAUCCAUUGUCUUUCACAUUAUUUUCCCAUAUAGAUUAUCACAGACUAUUAGAGUUACCUGUGUUAUAAGGCAGGUCCCUGUUGGCCAGUAAUGCCAUAUACCGCAGUGUGCAUAUGCCAAUCCCAAAUCCCCAGUUUACCCCUCUGCCCACAGACAUGUUCUUGACAUUGAAGCCCAGAUUAUCCCCAGGAAGGGCUUUACUCUAAGCUUCAUGGUGCACAUCUGACUUUACUUCAGUUGUAAUGUUGACUGGAGCAAAGGUGACCACCAUGCCAGAUUUGAGAAUACCAGUCUUCACUUAACCAACAGAGACAAUACCAACACCACCAAUUUUGUAAACGUCCUGGAAGGGCAGACACAAGUAGUAUACUGACUGGUAUUUUGACAGGUCAAUCUGUAGGAUAAGUGAUCCUCUUGAUUCAGGAUUAUUGUUUUAGAUUAGGUAUCUCAGCAUUCCUUUUUAAUGGGAUUCAUAAUGACCAUGUGUUUUUGGCACACGCUUCUGGUCUUACAGUUUUAUAGAACUGAGAUGGGGAAGGAAAACUAUCUCCCUUCCUGGGGGUUUCAUGAGCAUAAUUUGUGGGAUUAAAGAAUGCUCUGGUGUUGAGCUGUUCUCGUGAAAAACUUCAGGGUGAGGUCUAUCAGAAAGUUAAUCACUGCUCAUUUACUACUGCCAGUUUUACCAGGGCUCCUGUAGGGAAUUAAGCACCUCAAGUACAAGGGAGGCACUAGGCCUCUUCAUUCAUCAGAGUGUUCAUUUCUUUGUACUAUAUGAGAGGCUCUCAUCUUUUAUUGUUUUUCUUAUGUUUUAGCCUAGGGCAAUCUGUUUUCCAAUGUUCUUCAUCCUUACUUACAGUAAGCACAUCCUUCCUCCCUAACAGUGACUUACCUUUCUUCAGGUUACUCAUUUUCCAGGAAUCCAAUACCACUGUCAAAAAAGUGGCAAUUCAUUUUGCAUCUCCUUUCUUUUGUUGUUCCCUAUUGAACACUUUAUUUAUUUAUUUAUUUGUUGUCUUUUUUGCCAUUUCUUGGGCCACUCUCGCAGCAUAUGGAGGUUCCCAGGCUAGGGGUUGAAUCGGAGCUGUAGCCACUGGCCUACGCCAGAGCCACAGCAACGCGGGAUCCGAGCCGCGUCUGCGACUUACACCACAGCUCACCGCAACGCCGGAUCGUUAACCCACUGAGCAAGGGCAGGGACCGAACCCGCAACCUCAUGGUUCCUAGUCGGAUUCGUUAACCACUGCGCCACGACGGGAACUCCUCCCUGUUGAACACUUUAAAAGCAACAUCUACCUAUUGAGAAGGGUUGAUUCCAAAUGCACCAUCUAAUUUUUUGCAAAUUUCUCCUGAUAUCUGAGGCACUUUGCCCCCCAAAAGUCAAAUUUACCAUUCUAAUAUACUCAAGGGCCUCAGGAUCUACAUUAAGAUUAUAUCUAUAGGCCCGAUGGAUCCUUUCCAAAAAUUCAGAAAGGUCUUCAUUUGUUUUGUUUUUGCUGAGUUUCUUGAAUUUUGUUUAAACCUUUCUCUAUGGUUCCCCUUUCCAAAGCCCUACAAAGAUGCACUGAUAAGUAGUGUUCCAAUAAGGGUAUUCUUCUCUCAUUGGGGUACAACUUUGGUUCAGCUGUGGGUACUGCCACGUGGGCUUCAGGUUUAGAGGAUCCUCCCUAUAAAGGACAGUUGAUCUUCCAAUUAAACAAGUCUGAGAAGCCCAGCUUGUAUUUAGCCUCCUAUGAGAUUAACAGCAAUAGAAAUUGCCCUGUCCUAGGAGUGCUUCCUGGCCCAAAUUGGGUGUCCUGUCAGGUAUUAGAUGAUGAUACCAGACCAAGUCCCUGUGCCCCAGAAACUAACACAGGAUUUUACAAUUGAUCCCUAGAAGGAGAGGAAGUCCUGGGCUCAGCCAGAGGAGUUAAAGUUUGAAGCAACAUAGCCUCGCUCUCAUUCCCUUCCUUUAUUUUAGCUUGAUGUAAUAGCACAAAUGCUUGCACAUAAAGGAUUUUAUCAUUCUUCCUUGUUUCUUCACAAAAUAUCUAUACAGUGAUUCAAAAGCCACGGUAAAACCAGAGUCAUUUGAAAGCCACAGUAAAAUCAUAAAUAACAAUUGAUAAUCUCUAACCAUUAAAAAGAUGCAUUUUUGGAGUUCCCAUUGUGGCACAGUGGAAACGAAUCCAAUUAGGAACCCUGACGUUGCAGGUUCAAUCCCUGGACUUGCUCAGUGGGUUAAGGAUCUGGCAUUGCCAUGAGCUGUGAUAUGGGUCGCAGACAAGGCUUGGAUCUGGCGUUGCUGUUGCUGUGGCGUAGGCCAGCAGCUAUAGCUCUGAUUAGACCCCUAACCUGGGAACCUCCAUCUGCUGCGGGUGCGGCCCUAAAAAGACAAGACUAAAAUAAAAUAAAAAAUAAAAAAA